GUAUGGAUCAGAUACUCAGCUGUCAUUAAAGUGGUGCAGUGCUAGCACAAGCAGAGUGCCAAAACCAGCACAAAAUUACAGAUGUACCUUCAAACCAGCUGCAGGAUGUAUUUGCAAGGUUGGCAACUAAAUUGACAUAGGAAGAAAAUGAAAUGAAUGAGGAAAUAGUUAAGCAGAAAAUGAUUGUGAGCCCUCAUCUUGCAGUCCUCUGGAAAAGACAAAGACUUCAGCCUAUCAUGGAUGACUGAACACUACCCAAAUAACUCCCUGCUGAUGAAAGACGUUCGGCUGAAAACGCCGCUCCUGCUUCUUCUGGAAAAACGCGGCUCUCUGCAAGUAUUGACAAGAUUACAUGGCUGUCAUCUGAACAACGGCAUGUGAUGAAUGAUGUGACCCCUAAGCACCAGAGCAAGCUGAACUCUGUACUCCG